CUGGUGGAAAAGCUCUGACCAACAAGGCCAUAUCCCUCCCCCCCCCCACCUAAAACCCCAAAUAGAAACCCUUACUUUUAGCUUUUUGGGGAGUGUGGCAUUUCAGCGUUAGCAGCCCUUUCUCUUGUCUCAGAGCUCUGCCGUAACAAAGUCCUACUUUCUUCCACAGCACCUGGUGUCAGAGGUUGGCAUGCUGCACCACAGGACACAACUGGAAACACGGGUUAUAAUACCGAGGCUUUGACUGGAACAUCACAUUUGAGAAAGACGUACAGGCUCAGAUGUGACAAGACAGCUUCUGAGGAAUGAAGGUGGACUGUCUGGAAGAAAGCCACUUGGAAAUAUUGGCCUGGUACCUUGCUUAUGGCUUCCCAGUAACCUGUUUGCCAGGAAAGCCGCUGUCUCAAGAGUAUCAAGGAGCGGAGGCUCCCCAGACCUCAACUCCUCGACUCCGACUCCCGGCGCUCGAACCCGAACUGGAAACAAGAAGACGAGACA